ACGAACGCUGGCGGCGUGCCUAAUACAUGCAAGUCGAGCGGACAGAUGGGAGCUUGCUCCCUGAUGUUAGCGGCGGACGGGUGAGUAACACGUGGGUAACCUGCCUGUAAGACUGGGAUAACUCCGGGAAACCGGGGCUAAUACCGGAUGGUUGUUUGAACCGCAUGGUUCAAACAUAAAAGGUGGCUUCGGCUACCACUUACAGAUGGACCCGCGGCGCAUUAGCUAGUUGGUGAGGUAACGGCUCACCAAGGCAACGAUGCGUAGCCGACCUGAGAGGGUGAUCGGCCACACUGGGACUGAGACACGGCCCAGACUCCUACGGGAGGCAGCAGUAGGGAAUCUUCCGCAAUGGACGAAAGUCUGACGGAGCAACGCCGCGUGAGUGAUGAAGGUUUUCGGAUCGUAAAGCUCUGUUGUUAGGGAAGAACAAGUACCGUUCGAAUAGGGCGGUACCUUGACGGUACCUAACCAGAAAGCCACGGCUAACUACGUGCCAGCAGCCGCGGUAAUACGUAGGUGGCAAGCGUUGUCCGGAAUUAUUGGGCGUAAAGGGCUCGCAGGCGGUUUCUUAAGUCUGAUGUGAAAGCCCCCGGCUCAACCGGGGAGGGUCAUUGGAAACUGGGGAACUUGAGUGCAGAAGAGGAGAGUGGAAUUCCACGUGUAGCGGUGAAAUGCGUAGAGAUGUGGAGGAACACCAGUGGCGAAGGCGACUCUCUGGUCUGUAACUGACGCUGAGGAGCGAAAGCGUGGGGAGCGAACAGGAUUAGAUACCCUGGUAGUCCACGCCGUAAACGAUGAGUGCUAAGUGUUAGGGGGUUUCCGCCCCUUAGUGCUGCAGCUAACGCAUAAGCACUCCGCC
rnacentral:rRNA from 1 species